rnacentral:ncRNA from 1 species
UGGUGCAAGAGUAAAAGGGAAUCUCGUUAAAAUCGAGAGCGGUCUCCGCCACUGUAAGCAACGUAUAUGUUUGGUUUUAAGAAAAUGCCACUGAAGAGAUUUGGGAAGGCAAAAUCGAAUGUUGUAAGCCAGGAAACCUGCCAUUAAGUUUGA